rnacentral:rRNA from 1 species
CUUUACGGCCUUGCCACUCUGAACGUGCCUGAUCUCAUCUGAUCUCAAGAGCUAAGCAAGGUCGGGCCUGGUUAGUACUUGGAUGGGAGACCACCUAGGAAGACCAGGUGCUGUAGGUG